UACGUAGGGUGCAAGCGUUAAUCGGAAUUACUGGGCGUAAAGCGCACGCAGGCGGCUUUGUAAGUUAGAGGUGAAAGCCCGGGGCUCAACUCCGGAAUUGCCUUUAAAACUGCAUCGCUAGAAUUGUGGAGAGGUAAGUGGAAUUCCGAGUGUAGAGGUGAAAUUCGUAGAUAUUCGGAAGAACACCAGUGGCGAAGGCGACUUACUGGACACAUAUUGACGCUGAGGUGCGAAAGCGUGGGGAGCAAACAGG
rnacentral:rRNA from 1 species